AGUCCUACACUCCUCUAAGACAAUCUCCUCCCACACCCACAACCUCCGCCUCCAACUCCACCCCUCACCACCCCGCGACAACCUCAAGGGCAACAUGUUAGCUACAGUAGUAUAUUUGUCUACAGCUAAAUCAAACAACCUGGGAAACUGCUCUCUAAGGGGCGCCCCUCCACACCACCAGUGGAACCAAACAACGUAUCA
rnacentral:lncRNA from 1 species